UGUUAAUUUCUUCUAUCAAAUAAACUAUGGAGAAUUAGGAGCAAGGUGAAUAGCACCCUCCCCUACAUGAGUAAAGAAGAAAUUAAAAUUUUGUUUGGUAUUUGAAUCAAAAGAACUUUUCAUACAAACCAGAAAUUUCCACAUCUUCAAAGAUACUUUUAAGCAAAAAUCCUAUCUAUCAGAUUUCAUUUUAGUAAAUCCAUAUACUGAUUU
rnacentral:lncRNA from 1 species